rnacentral:rRNA from 1 species
CAAUGCUCGAGCGUUAUCCGGAACAUUGGGCGUAAAGGGUGUGUANGCGGUUUCGUUAGUCUUCCGUUAAAUUCUUCGGCUCAACCGGGGGCAUGCGGAGGAAACGGCGAAACUUAGAGGACGGAAGAUGGNNNCUGGAACUCAUGGUGUAGCGGUGAAAUGCGUUGAUAUCAUGGGGAACACCGAAAGCGAAGGCAAGAAACUGGUCCGCUCCUGACGCUGAAACACGAAAGCGUGGGUCGCGAAUGGGAUUAGAUACCCCAGUAGUCCACGCCCUAAACGAUGAUCUCUAGCUUUGAGGAGUAUCGACCCUCUUCGAGGCUAAGCUAACGCGAUAAGAGAUCCGCCUGGGUAGUACGGCCGCAAGGUUGAAACUCAAAGGAAUAGACGGGGACUUGCACAAGCGGUGGAACAUGUGGUUCAAUUCGACGCUAAACGAAGAACUUACCAGGUUAGAAAUCCAUUCGAAACUGGCAGAAACUCAGUCGCCGCAAGCGGAUGGACCAGUGCUGCAUGCUGUCUCAUUUCGUGGUUUGACUG